CGUCGCCUCAACCUUGAUUUCUCAGCAAGACAUCUUGCGACUCCUCAUGUCAUCUCUGUGGCGGCUCCGCGAUUGCCUCCCUCCGUUGCCGUGACCAAGCUUCCUUCGCGAUCAGAAGCCACGUUAUCUCCUAGCUCCCAAAGUCGUCGAUCUCACUUCCAAUUGUAGAAGAUCUCAAGCCGCGGUAGCCAAUCUCACUUCUAUUUUCGUCUGAAGAUCGUCUCCGACUCUUCCACUUCGUCAUCACCGUUUUGGCUCUCUGUAAUUCGUCGCUACCGCGACCCACUUUGAUUAAUUAAUUAUGUUCUUAACUCCUUUCGUCUCUUUUUAUAUAGAGAUUUCAGUUCCUCGACAUGUUACUCAUAGCGUCUAGGGUUUCGGUCCAAUCCCAUCUAUGUGGAUUAGUUUCUCACCCAAGAGGAUUCAAUAACGUUGUUUGGAAGUUCUUCUUGGAUUGCUCUUCCUCCUCUGAUCCACCAUUGGUUAACACUUCUAAAAGGCAAGUGGAAAGUCUACGGCUGUUUACCAAAAGCUCGCUUAGAGACACUUUCCAAAAUUAUGACAUGUUCCUAAGAAGCCAUAAAAAACAGAUCUAUAUGACAAUAAAGCAAGAGAAAGCAUGGUAUGAACAUCAAGGACACCAUCAAAGAACUUGCUAAGGAGUUCAAAGAUGAUCUCACCCCAAGAAAGUCAUCUAUAAAGCUGAUGAUCCAAAACGAGCUCACUAAAUUAGCAGAAGUGGUAGAUGAAGGAGAGGAAGAAGGGGAGAAAAAAUAAGAACUUGGUUUGAUGCAAAAAUAGUGAUGGGGAGUGUAAGAGGGAAGAAGAUGAUGUUGGUCAGUGAUUCUUUGAAACCAAAGAAUGUAUUUCUCUUUCUAUGCUUCCUUAGUACUCAAAUCCCAGAAAGUUCAAAAUCCAAGGACAUGUUUGGUUUCUUCACCUUCUUAUCUCUCAAGGCUUACAAUGCAAUGACUGAGUACUUUUAGGCACCAUUUCUUCUACAAUCGAAUUGAGAUAAUGAUACUGUUCAUACAGUAUCAGAUCAGAUUAUGAGGAGAAGACUCCAUCGGUAAACAUGGUAGGCACUGGCCAGAAAUUGACAUAGUUGUGUUCAACACAUACUUUUGGUGGAGAACUUACGUCAAGAUGAAAAUCGUGUAUAUUUUAAAUCACGAAGUUAAAAACUUUGCUCAAACAGUUUUGCAAUGUUUCUAACCAAGCUAACUUGAUGCAUAUAACAUAAUAUCAAAAUACAUUUGGUGUACACUCUUUUAUUAGUUAAGCUUUUCUAUAGUAAUUUAAAAGGAGGUAUUUGUAGUUUUAAAUGUUGUAAAUGUUAUAUACGACUGAUGUAAUGGCUGAAAAACCUCUAUACAUAUUUCAUUUUAAAAUAA